GCCUACCUGAUGAGUCCCAAAAAGGGCGAAACCAGUCGUGGGC
rfam:Clonorchis sinensis DNA, scaffold: 241, strain: Henan.